rnacentral:rRNA from 1 species
UGGGGAAUAUUGGACAAUGGGCGCAAGCCUGAUCCAGCAAUGCCGCGUGAGUGAUGAAGGCCUUCGGGUUGUAAAGCUCUUUCGCACGCGACGAUGAUGACGGUAGCGUGAGAAGAAGCCCCGGCUAACUUCGUGCCAGCAGCCGCGGUAAUACGAAGGGGGCUAGCGUUGUUCGGAAUUACUGGGCGUAAAGGGCGCGUAGGCGGUGCUUCAAGUCAGGCGUGAAAGCCCCGGGCUCAACCUGGGAACCGCGCUUGAGACUGGAGGACUAGAGUUCGGGAGAGGAUGGUGGAAUUCCCAGUGUAGAGGUGAAAUUCGUAGAUAUUGGGAAGAACACCGAUGGCGAAGGCAGCCAUCUGGACCGACACUGACGCUGAGGCGCGAAAGCGUGGGGAGCAAA